CUAGACUCCUCCCAACCACCAAGCUUCCAACAGCUACAAACCAUGGAGAAGAAACCUGCACCUGGGAGAAAAUUGAAACCCACCAGAUCAGAUAAGACAACUGGCAGAAGAAAAGAACUCGAGUUGCCUGCCCUCCCCAUUAUGACCAAGCAGGGAUGUUUAUAGAGUAACACGAUGAAACAAAUGAGUACAAGAUUAAGUAGAGAGAUAUCAACACCAAACCAUCAAAGACAAACAUAUAAAGAUCAUGUAAUCAAAACCACCAGACAUUCUCAUUAUCACAUUAUGCAAGACCUGAAUAAAAUCUUGCACACAUGGAGCCACUAUCAACAUCUCUAACCAUCAGAAAGAGGCUGCCAGCUCUACCCCCAUUAGGGGAAGGGGGAGAAAGAAGAUAGGUCUUAACCGAAACCUGAUUCACAAAAGAAUUCCAAGAGAACUCCUAAGAACCUGCACCUAAAAUCAUAGUCGGAACCCUCUUCACCAAAAUGUUGUUUCCUAAUGAUACAACCAAGAAAAUCAAAGCACAGUGGAACAUACUCAUAGAUUAUAUACAAGGAAAAAUUAUUUUUAAAAAAAACAGAAAACUCCUCUAAAAUCAUACGAUAUCCAAAGUAUAACAGCCAUACGUAAAGUGCAACAUGUGAAUGAAGAGUUAUACUCCAUGAAUGGAGGCAAAGACAGCAGCAUUUUUUCAAAAUUGUCACAGCUCGGUCUGGGGCGGGCUUCUUAGAAGAUCCCCAUUUACUUGUGCAAGGUUCCUACUCAAUCACCAAUACAAGAAACCCAAGGAGCAAGGAACAAUUUCGGAAAUAAGAAAUGAACUAUAGCUGGUAGUAGAACACGAGGAGAACCAAGUGAUGAAACCAUCAGUGACUGAUCUGUGAAGUGUCAUUUGGCUGAACAGACUAUCUGGUUAGUAACAUUUUUUUUGAAACUUUUUUUAUUUAUUUUUUUUGAAACUCUUAUCUGGUUAGUGACAUUUUACAAAACAUACCAUCUGUGAAGUGACAUUUGACUCAACAUACACCAAUGAUAUAGCAACACCACAGAGAAUGACAGAACAAAGGUUACCUAUAAUCAAUGGUGAUUUCAACCAUAUUAAGAAAAUUAGUGCAAACCUUAACUUGGAAGAGUAUCUAGAAUAACAAGAUUUGUUGAAAAAAUUCCCAACUUGCACGAUGAUCUGAUAUGUGAUGGAUUUACAAGGGUAUAUUUCAUGAGACGAUCUUUUACACAGAAAAAAAUAGUUACCUUUGUGUUGAAUAUAUGACCUUUUACACAAAAGAUGAGCCAAGUUUUUUACUUGAUCUGCUCUAAAUCCAAUGAAUUGCCGCUAGCUCUUUGAUGCAAAGACUGUUCAAAUGGCAAUGUUUCAUGGAGAAAAAAAGUGUGAAAGAUCUCUCUUUUUGCAUUAAAGUUUUACAUAAUAGCUGACAGUCUGAAGCAACUCCUCAAAUGACUGAAUAUCUGAAACAUAAUAGGCAUGUUAAAAAACAAGAAAAAAAUAGGAGAGACCUCCAAAAAUAAAAAGAGCCUUCAAUUUUGUAUUAUAUUUUGAAAUAGGUAACUUUGAAAAAAGAGGCUUCAUUACCCAACAAUUAGCCUGAAAAUAGUGAUUAUGGCUGCAGAUAGUGCACCCAAUAAAAGAAUCAGAAAUUGAAUGAUAUGACCAUGUGCGGUAAGCACCACUGACAUGCAAAAUUCUCAAUUAAACUCACUACAAGAAGAGCACCGUUUCAAAGAGAGUACAGUAAAAAAAAAUAUCAUACUGACAAGAGGAGAACUGAACUGAAAAUUCGGCACUCACAGCAGCUUGAACCAAAUGAAACCUUAACAUAAAUCAACAAACAAAAGCUGCCCCAUGGAAAGAAGAAUUUUACUUCUUCAAGACCACAACUGCAAACACAGAAAGAAGGAACAGUACAAAACUGGCAAAACCCAAACCACUUGGGAAAUCACUACAGAAGACGUAGACAAUAUUUAGAAACCCCCUUUUUCUCGAAGCACUAACAAUAUCCAGAUUGCAGUGCAAGCACCUAAACGACCAGUUAACUAAACACUAACCUUUACAGAUUGCAAAUCUAAUCCCCCCAUACUGUUCACUGUGUAGUAUAUAGAUCCUACUAUCCUCCAAUAAUGUUCUCUAUGUGGUAUAUACAUCCUUCCAAUAGACGAAACAGAAAACUGGAGUGAUAAGCAAAAAGAAAAUGAAAACAAAGAAGAUAAGAAGCAAGACACGGAAGGUAGAUGAGCGCUUUACAGGGCUAUGGAAAGAUCUAGAAUUUACCGAGUACCUACCAAAUGUCCACACCCAUAAGAGACUUCAUCAGUUGGAUCACAGCAAACAUAAGCAUCUGGACUAAAACCUGAAAAUGCACUUGUGGAAAGAAUUGUCGUAGCUGAGAACUUCUGUAUAACAGCACUUCUGACAACGAGAUAAGGGAUCUCUAUGAACAAGGAAGAAAACUAAAUCGAAAAGAUAGAUACUAAUAAAGCCUGGACCAAGGAAACCUCAACGCUAAUUGACAAACAAGGUUGCUCCAUGAAAGUAGAUCGAGAAAGACCCAACGACAGCAAGCACAAAAAGAAGGGAACAGUCGAGUGGAAAGCCGUGAAACCCAUGCCACAUUAGAAGAGAUCACUAGAGAUGCAAAGCUCCCUUCCCUUGGUGCUUGAUGAUAUCCAAAUUGCAGUGCAAGCACCAAAAUGGCAAAGAAGCAUGGUGCACAAGGAUACACACUGAAACCAAUCUUCGAGACUACCAAAUCUGAUCCCCUCACUGUCACCAUGUGGUCUACACAGAUACAUCCAAACAAACAAAACCAAGUGGCACGAUAAACAUAAGAAAACAGGAGCAGAAAAGAUAAGUAGCAAGAACACACCAAAGUAGAGGAGCUCUUAGGUCCAUAUGAAAAUCUAAAAUGUACUUCUCACGUGUCCAUAACAAUCAGGGAUCUCAUCAGUUCGAUCAUCCAAGAAAAUAAGCAUCUAGAACAAAAAUUUCACAACUUCAGAGUACAACACACACACUAGUGGAAAAUAUUAUCAGUGCUGAAUGUUGAGAACUUCCACACAACAGUAGUUUCCAAAAAGAGAAAAAGGACCCACUGAUUAAGAAGAAAACUGAAUUGAAGUUCAUUCUCAGGAAGAUCCAACAGUUACAUGCACAAGAAGAACGAAACAGGUAAGUGCAAAACAUGGGAAACCCAUACAACGCAGGGGUGAUCACUAGAGAUGCCAAACAAUGUAGCAUUUCAAACUGCCCUCUUCUUGGAGCAUGUGAUAUCCAAUUAUCCAGAUUGCACCAAAAUGGCAAGAAACAGGGUCCACAAUGAUGCUCACCAAAAGCGAACUACAAAAUUUCCAAAACGUAUCCUCUUCACUAUCAUAUCACCAUGUGGCAAAAAUUCAUUCAUCCAACCAAAAUAAAUCAACUAGUAGGCUAAACGAACACAGAGAUGGUAAGUAGCGAGAACACGAAAGUAGAGGACUGCAUUACAUGGUCAUCAAAAGUUCCAAAUUUUGAACACACUUAUCAAAUGUCCAUAACCAUCAAAAUCUCACAAGUUGCAUCUGGAUUACUUAAAAGAAAAAAUAUGGCGACAAAAUAUAAACCAGUGAAGCAGGGCUGACAAACAGAGAAGGGAACAAUUCUGAUUACGGAAGAAAACCUGAAUUGAAGAUCUCAAUGAUUAUUAAAAGCAUCAACCAAAAAACCUCAACAUAAAUUGACAGACAAGGCCGCUGCAUGAAAAGAAGAAUCUACGGCUCAGUAAGACCCAGCAACUGCAAGCACAGAAAGAAUGGAACAGUUAAAGUGCAAAGCUGGUGAAGCACGCUACGUAGAAUUUACUAGAAAUACCAAGACAAGAUUGAGAACCGCCUUCUUCCAAAGCCUCUUGGUAAUAUCCAGAUUGUAGUGCAAGAACAACAUGGACAAGAAACAUGCUGCACAAGAAUGCAGUACACCAACCAUCAAAAUCUUCCACAACUAAUCCCCUCAACUGUCACCAUACAUCCAUCCAACAAACAAAAUCAAGCUAGUGUAAUACAAAAGUAAAAGGAAGCAGAGAAUAUGAGCAGCGAGAACAACAAAAGAGAAGACCAUUUUACGAGGCUUUCAGAAGAUUCAAAAUUGAGUACUUGUUAGGUGUCCACAAGACCAUAACCAUCAGAAAACUCAUCAAUUGGAUAAUUGAAGAAAAUAAGCAUCUGAACUGAAAACCAAAAACGACGAUAGAAUAUGACCAAAAAAAAUUAUUUAGUUGAAAAUCUCAGUGCUCAUACAAGCCUCAACCAUGAAAACCUCGACAUAAAUUGGACAAACAAAGCCGCUCCAUCAAAAGAAUAUUUUACUCUAUAAGACCCAAUGGCUGCAAGCACAAAAAAAAGGGUACAAUCAAGUCCAAAACUGACAAAACCCAUACCACCUAAGAAAUCACUAGAGAUGCCAUAUAGACGAGAUUUAAAAAACCCCUUCAUUGUUGAAGCCCUGAUCAAUAUGUUCUGAUUGCAGUACAAGAACCAAAAAUACCAAGAGGGUACAGAUUGCAGUGCAAGAACCAAAAAGACCAACAGGGUAUAGAGAUAGCAUACUGGACAUCAACCUUUGAAAUCUCCAAAUCUUUAACCUGUAAUACUGCCACCAUAUAGUCUACAUAUCCAUCCAACAAAAAUAAAAAGUUGACAACCAAAAGAAAAUGGCAGGAAAAAACAUAUGUAGCUAGAAGACCAGAAGUACAGGAGCACUUAAUGGCGCUGUCAAACUAUAAGAUCAAAAAUUGACGGAGUACUUAUCAGGUGUCUAUAAGCAGAGACCUCAUCUGUCGAAGACUGAUAAUACAGAAUGAAGUGCAAGCACAGAAAUGGCAAAGAAACAAGGUGCACAAUGAACACUGGGCAUCAACCUUCGGAACUUUCCAAAUCUAAUCCUCUUAACUGCCAUCCAUCCAACAAACAAAAUCAAUCUGGAAGCAGAGUACAACACAUACUAGUUGAAAAUAUUACCAUUAUUGAGGACUUCCACACAACAGUAGUUUUGACAAAGAGAAAAGUGACACGCUGAUUAAGGAAAAGCUGAACAAAAGUUCAUUCUGUGGAACACCCAAUGAUUACAUGCACAAAUAGAACGAAACAAGUACAAAACAUGGGAAACUCAUACCACGAAGAGAGAUCACUAGAGAUGCCAAACAAUGCAACAUUGCAAAGCGCCCAUUACUUGAAGCCUGGUGAUACCCAAUCAUCCAGAUUGCAGUGCAAGCACCAGAAUGGAAAGAAAUAGGGUCCACAGGGAUGCACAUCGAAACCAAAGCACAAAAUUCACAAAUCUUACCCUCUUACUAUCAUAUCACCACCAUGUGGCCUACAAACACUCAUUCAACCGAAACUAAAUCAACUGGUAAGCUAAACGAAAGCAGAGAAGUUAAGCAGCUAGAACACAAAAGUAGAGUGCGUUACAGGGCUAUCAAAAGAUCCAAGACUGAGUUUGAAUAUACUCAUCAAGUGUCCAUAACCAUGGAGUUCUCAUCAGUUGGAUCAUUAAAAAACAUAAGCAUCUGGAUUACUUAAAAAACUGUAACAAAAUACACACUAGUGAAGCAGUGUUGACAAAGAGAAAAGCGAACCAUCUGAUAGUGGAAGAAAACUGAAUUGGAGAUCUCAAUAAUCAUUAAAGCAUCAAUCAAAAAACCUCAAACACAAUUGACAGACAAGGCCGCUACAUGAAAAGAAGAAUCUACGGCUCUGUAAGACCCAACGGCUGCAAGCACAGAAAAAAUGGAACAGUUAAGUGCAAAGGUGGUGAAGCCUGUACCACCUAGAAUUCACAAGAAAUGCCAGACAAGAUAGAGAACCGCCUUCUUUCGAAGCCUCUGAUAGUAUCCAGAUUGUAGUGCAUGCACUAACAUGGCCAAGAAACAGGGUGCACACGAUGCAAAACGGUACACCAACCUUCAAAAUCCUCCAGGCCUAAUCCCCUCAACUUUCACCAUACAUCCACCCAACAAACAAAAUCAAGCUGGCAUAAUACAACAAAAAGGAAGAAGAAAAAAUGAGCAGCGAGUACUUGUCAGGUGUCCAUAAGACCAUAACCAUCAACCAUCUGGAAUCUCAUCAGUUGGAUAAUUAAAGAGACUAAGCAUCUGGACUAAAAAACAAAAAUGACAGUAAAAUGACACAGUAGUAAAAACAAAAACUAUUUUAGUUGUAAUCCCAGUACUCAUAAAAGCCUGAACUAAGGCAACCUCGACAUGAAUGGACAAGUGGCUUCCAUGAAAAGAAUAAUUCACUGCUCUUUAAGACCCAAUGGCUGCAUGCACAAAAAAAAGGGUACAAUCAAGUUCAAAGUUGAUGAAAGCCCACACCAAAGAAAUCAUUAGAGAUGCCACAUAGACAAGAUUAAAGAACCCUUCUUCGUUUAAGCCCCGACAAUAUAUCCAAAUUGCAGUGCAAGAACCAAAAAGACCAAGAGGGUACAGAGAUACCAUACUGGAUAUCAACCUUAUCAAUCUCCCAAUCUUAACCUCUAAUAUUGUCACCAUAUAGUCUGCACAUCCAUCCAACAAAAAAAAUGGCAGCAAAGAACAUAUGUAGCUAGAAGACCAGAAGUAGAGAAGCACUUUAUGAAGAGAUAGAUCCACAAAUCGAGUACUUAUCAAGUGACUAUAACCAUAAUGAGGAGAGAACUCAUCAGUUGGAUCAUUGAAGAACAAAUUGUCUGGAUUAAAAGCUUCAUGGCAGCAGAACACAAUACACACUUGCAAGAAAAUAUUAUCUUAGUCAAAAUAACAUCCAUACAACAAUAGUUUUGACAGAGAAAAGGGACCUAUAAGGAAAGAAAACAGAAUCGAAAAUCUCAAUACUCAUGAAAGACUCUACUAAAGAAACCUCAACACAAACGGAUAAACACGGCCGCUUCAUGAAAAGAAUAAUCCACUGCCCUAUGGUUCAAUGGCUACAAGAAUUGAAAGAAAGAAACAGUUAAGUGCAAAUCUGACAAACCCCGAAACCACCCAUGUAAUCACUAAAUAUGCUAUAGACAAGACUAAAAACCCCCUUAUGUCAAAGCCCGGAAAUCCAAAUUGCAGUGCAAGCACCAAAGACCAAAAGGUGACAGAGGAUCACAUGUUGAUUAUAACCAAGCUUUGAAAUUUCCAAAUCUGAAUGUCCAUAACAGUACCACCACCAUAUGGCUACACAUCUAUCCAACCAAAACAAACUAUCAUGAUAAUAUAAAAAAAAUGGAAGACAAAAGAUAAUAAGUAGCUAGAAGAACAAAAGUAAAGAAGUAUUUUACAUCACUAUAAAAAGAUCUAGGAUUGGCCGAGUACUUCUUUAGGUGCCCACACAAAAGACCUCAUCACCAUAGGACACCUCACAACUUGGAUCAUCCAAGAGCAUAUGCUUCUGGACAAAGAACUCAUGGCAGCAGAAAAAUACAACACACUGGUCAAAAAUAAUAUCCUAAUUGAGAAACUUCCAUACAAAAGUAGUUUUGACAAAGAUAAGAGGAGCCAUGAGAGAAGAAAACUGAAUUGAAAAUUAUCGAUACUCAUAAAAGACUGAACUUAAAAGGCCUCAACUCAUAUGGACAAACAAGAUCACUCCAUGAAAAGAAGAAUCCACUGCUCUGUAAGACCCAAUGGCUGCAAGCAAAGGAAUAAAGGAAAGAAUACUUGCAAAGCUGACGAAACCCACUAGAAAAUGCAAGAUAAGAUUGAAAAACCCCUCUCAUAUCCUGAUAAUAUCCAUAUUGCGGUGCAUCCACAAAACUGGCAAAGAAUCAAGAUUGAGAAACCCCUCUAUCUCGCCUAAUAAUAUUCAGAUUGUAGUGCCAGCACAAAAAUGGCAUAGAAACAGGUUGCACAAGAAUGGACACUGGGCAUUAACCUUCAAAAUUUUCCAAAUCUAAUCCUCUACUGUCAUCCAUCCAACAAAUAAAAUCAAUCUGGGGUGAAACAAACAGGAAGCAGAGAACGGACCCACUUGAUGGGGCUGUCAAGAGAUCUAGGAUUGAGUUUUGAUUUCUUAUCAGGUGUCAAUAAGACCAUAUACCCAUCAACCAACCAGGAAUCUCGUAAUCUCAUCAAUUGGAUCAUCGAAGAACACAAGCAUCCGAUCUACAAACUAAAAAUGGCAGAGCAGAAUACAACACACACUAGUGCAAGAAAAACUAAUUUAGCUGGGAACUACCAUAUAACGGCAAUUUUUGACAAAGAGAGGAGGGACCACUCUGAUUGAGGAAGAAAACUGAAAUGAGAAUCUCAGUACUCAUAAAACCUGAAGUAGAAGAACAUCAACACAAAUGUCCAAACAAAGCCCCUCCAUGAAAAGGAUAGUUCACUGCUCGGUUAGACCCAACUGCAAGCACAGAAAGGAGGCUGCAAGCACAGAAAGAAGGGAACAGUUAAGUGCAAAGCUGACAAAACCCUUAUCACCUAAGAAAUCACUAGAGACGCAAGAGAUAUUGAAAAACCCCAUUAGUCGAAGCCUGACAAUAUCUAUCUUGGAGUGCAAGCACAAAAAAGACAGAAAAAGGUGCAAAGGAACGCCUACCGGAUACAAGCAUUCGAAGUUCCCAAAACUAAUCCUCUAUUAAUAUCACCAUGUGGUCUACACAUACAUUCACCAAUAAACAAGAUCAAGCAGGUGUGAUAACCAAGGGAAAACGAAAGCAGAGAGAAAAUAAGUAGCUAGGACACAAAAGCCAGAGGAGCACUUUACGGCACUAUCAGAGAUCCAGAAUUGACUUUUGACUACUUAUACAGUGCCCAUAACACCACAAGAGAUAGCAGGAUUAUCAAAGAACAUGAGCAUCUGAACCAUGAACUAAAACUGGCAGCGUUACACACACAAGUGAAGAGAAAUAUCAUAAUUGAGAACUUCCAUAAGCAGUAAUGACAAAACUUCGAGAGACUGAAAAAUCCAAUACCUAUAGUCAAAAACCUGGGAACUGUUGCAUCCUUCCCGAGACGAACACCAAAGCAAGACACUUACUCCUGUAGAACGACUUGCACCUAGAUGCCCAUCCAUGUAUUCUUGACAGCUAAGAAUGACAUCCACUGAUGACCAAACCAAAUAAGUUGAGCGAGGAGAAACAUGAUAAGCAUCAAUAUUAACAUUAAAGAUGGAAGUCAAGAUAUCAAAUCCAAACUGAUAGCUCCUCUCUAUGGUUAUGACAACAUAAGACGAUGGGACUCGUUCAUCUCAAGAUCUAAAUUCCCACUUCUACUCAUAUUCUGAUUCAACAGAAGGAAAUUGCUAGGUUUUAGAGUAGUAAAUAGGGUGACAAAAUAAUGUACACAACACACGAUUUCUCACAACAAAAACCUCAGAAUUUUCCAAAACCUGGAAGCAAUACUCGAUUUCCCCCAAAACUGCAUCCAAAAUGGACCUUACCAUACCAGCUUCCAAUUUCUAAAAUAAAAACAUUGGAAAUCAAUCGAAGGUACACCAAGAAAAUGGGAACAAAUUAAAUAUUUGCACUGGAAAGGUACCCAUAAUCAUUCUCCUAUCAUUAUUACCCAGACCUUCAACCAAACACCAAUAACGAAUCAAAAGAUCCAAAAUUGAUUACUUGUUAGGUGUCCACAAAACCAUAACCAUCAACCAUCAGGAAUCUCAUCAGUUGGAAAAUUGAAGAAAAUAAGCACCUAAACGAAAAACCAAAAAUGAUGAUAGAAUAUGACACACACUAGUUGAAAAAAAAUUAGUUGCAAAUCUCAGUACUCAUACAAGCCUGAACCAUGGAAACCUCCACAGAAAUUGGACAAACAAAACCUCUCCAUCAAAAGAAUAUUUUACUGCUCUGUAAGACCCAAUGGCUGCAAGCACAAAAAGAAGGGUACAAUCAAGUCCAAAACUGACAAAACCCUUACCACCUAAGAAAUCACUAAGAGAUGCCAUAUAGACAAGAUUAAAAAACCCUUCUUUGUUGAAGCCUUGACCAAUAUGUCCAUAUUACAGUGCAAGAACCAAAAAGACCAAGAGGGUACACAUAUACCAUACUGGACAUCAACCUUUGAAAUCUCCAAAUCUUUAACCUCUAAUACUGCCACCAUAUAGUUCGACCUGUCGUCACAUAUGAAAUAACGGACGGUAAAAAUUUAGGAGCCCUUUUUCUACCGGAUCCAUUGCAGGAAAGGGAUAAUGUGUAACUUCGAAUUGUCAACUAUCUCCUUUAUAGUCUAAACAUCCAUCCAUCAAAAAUAAGAAGCUGUGACAACCGAAAGAAAAUCGCAGGAAAGAACAUAUGUAGCUAGAAGACCAGAAGUGGAGGAGCACUUUAUGGCACUGUCAAAAAGUAAGAUCCAGAAUUGACCGAGUACUUACUGGUAAAACUUCAUGGCAGCAGAACACAACACACACUGGUGAAAAAUAUUAUCUUAGUUGAGAAACUGUCAGUCUUUCAUGCAACAAUAGUUUUGACGGAGAAAAGAGAGCCAUACGGGAAGAAAACUGAAAUUAAAAAUUGCAGUACUCACAAAAGACUUAACUAAAGAAACCUCAACACAAAUGAACAAACACAGCCGCCUCAUGAAAAGAACAAUUAACUGCCCUGUAGCCAAAGGCUGCAAGAACAGAAAGAAGGGAACAGUUAAGUGCAAAUCUGACAAACCCCAAACCACCCAAAUAAUGACUAGAUAUGCCAUAGACGAGACCGAAAACCCCCUUUUCGAAGCCCAGACAAUAUCCAGAUUGCAGUGCAAGCACCAAAAAGUCCAAAAGGUGGCAGAGGAUCGCAUGUUGGUUAACCAACCUUUGAAAUUUCCAAAUUUGAACGUCCAUAACAGUGUCACCGUACGGUCUACACAUCCAUCAAACCAAAAAAACUAGUGUGAUAACAAAAAAAUAUGGAAGCAGAGAAGAUAAGUAAGUAGCUAGAAGAACAAAACAAACAAAGUAUUUUACGCCACUAUCAAAAGAUCCAUUGGCCGAGUACUUAUCAGGUGUCCAUAGCCAUAAGAGACUUCAUCAUCACCAUAAGAGGCCUCAUCAAUUGGACCAUCUAAGACAUAUGUGUCUGGACUAAGAACUUCACGGUAGCAGAAUACAAUCACUGGUGAAAAAUAAUGUCCUAAUUGAGAAACUUCCAUACAACAGUAGUUUUGAAAAGACAAAUGAGUCAUUAGGGAAAAAAAACUAAAUUGAAAAUUAUCCAUACUCGUAAAAUACAGAACUAAAGAAACCUCAACACCACAUAUGGACAAAUAAGGCCUUCUAUGGGAAGAAAAAUCCACUGCUUUGUGAGACCCAAUGGCUGCAAGCAAAUGAAUGAAGGGAAGAGUUACGUGCAAAGUUGAUGAAACCCACUAGAAAAUGCCAGACAAGAUUGAAGAACCCCUCUCAAAGCCUGAUAAUAUUCAGAUUACAGUGGAAGCACAAAUAUGGCAAAGAAACAAAAUUGGAAACCCCCUCUGUCGAAGCCUGAUAAUAUUCAGAUUGCAGUACAAGCACAGAAAUAGGCAAAGAAACAGGAUGCACAGGAAUGGACUCUGGGCAUCAACCUUCGAAACUUUCCAAAUCUAAUCCUCUUAACUGCCAUCCAUCCAACAAACAAAAUCACACUGGGAUGAUACCUUAGUUGCGCGGACUCUCCACUUUUAAUGCCGCACCCGUGUCGGAUUCUCCAAAAACACACUACAUUUGGCGAAUCCGACACGCACCCGUUGACAUUUUGAAGAGUCCGAGCAGCAACAUAGGGUGAUACAACAAAUGGAAAGCAGAAUAAAACACACACUGGUUGAAAAUAUAACCAUUAUUGAGAACUUCCACACAACAGUAGUUUUGACAAAGAGAAAAGGGUCCCACUUAUCAAGAAAAAAACUGAACUGGAGUUCAUUCUGUAGAAGACCCAACAGUUGCAUGCACAAAAAUAACAAAACAGGUAGGUGUAAAACAUGGGAAACUCAUACCACACAGCAAGACAACUAGAGAUGCCAAACAAUAUAACAUUGCAAAGGGACCAUUUCUUGAAGCGUCUGGUGAUAUCCUACCAUCCAGAUUGCAGUGCAAGCACCAGAAUGGCAAGAAAUAGGGUUCACAGGGCACAUCGAAACCAAAUUACAAAAUUUAAUCUUAUCCUCCUACUAUCAUCAUAUCAGCACCAUGUGGCCUACAAACAUUCAUCCAACCAAACUAAAUCAACUGGUAAGCUAAAUGAAAGCAAAGGAGGUAAGCAGCGAGAACAUGAAAAUAAAGGUGUUGCAGGGCUAUCAAAAGAUCCAAGACUGAGUUUGAAUACAUUCAUCGACUGUCCAUAACCAUGGAGAUCUCAUCAGUUGGAUCACUAACAAGCAUAAGCAUCUGGAUUACUUUAAAAAAUGGCAACAAAAUACGCAAUAGUGAAGCAGUGUUGACAAAGAGAGAAGGGAACCAUUCUGAUUACAGAAGAAAACUGAAUUGAAGAUCUCAAUAAUCAUUAAAGCAUCGACAAAAAAACCUCAACACAAAUUGACAGACAAGGCCGCUCCAUGAAAAGAAGAAUCUACAGCUUUGAAAGACCCAACAGCUGCAAGCACAGAAAGAAUGGAAUACUUUUAAGUGCAAAGUUGGUGAAGCCCGUACCACCUAGAAUUCACUAGAAAUGCAAGACAAGAUUGAGAACCGCCUUCUUUCAAAGCCUCUGAUAGUAUGAAGAUUGUAGUGCAUGCACUAACAUGCCAAGAAACAGGGUGCACGGGAUGCACACUGUACACCAACCUUCAAAAUCCUCCAACAAGUCUGAUCCCCUCAACUUUCACCAUACAUCCAUCCAACAAACAAAAUCAAGCUGGCGUAAUACAAGAAAAAGGAAGCAGAAAAAAUGAGCAGCGAGAACACCAAAAGAGAGGACCAUUUAUGAGGCUUUCAAGAGAUCCAAAUUGAGAUCUUGUCAGGUGUCCAUAAGACCAUAACCAUCAACCAUCUGGAGUCUCAUCAGUUGGAUAAUUAAAGAAAAGAAGCAUCUCGACAAAAAACCAAUAUGACAGUAGAAUAUGACACACACUAGUGAAAAACAAAAACUAUUUUAGAUGAAAAUCCCAGUACUCAUAAAAGCCUGAGGCAACCUCAACAUGUAUGGACAAACAACGCCACUCCAUGAAAAGAAUAAUUCACUGCUCUGUAAGACCCAAUGGCUGCAGGCACAAAAAGAAGGGUACAAUCAAGACCAACGUUGACGAAACCCACACCAACUAAGAAAUCACUAGAGAUGAGAUUUAGACAAGAUUUAAAAACCCUUCUUUGUUGAAGCCUUGACCAAUAUAUCCAGAUUGCAAUGCAAGAACCAAAGAGACCAAGAGGGUACAGAGAUACUAUACUGCGUAUCAACCUUUGAAAUCUCCAAAUUCUAACCUCUAAUAUUUUCACCAUAUAGUCUACACAUCCAUCCAACAAAAAAUGGCAGCAAAGAAUAUAUGUAGCAAGAGGACCAGAAGUAGAGCAGCACUUUAUGGAGAGAUAGAUCCACAAACCGAGUACUUAUCAAGUGACUAUAACCAUAAUGAGGAGAGAACUCAUCUGUUGGAUCAUUGAAGAACAAAGAGUCUGGAUUAAAAUCUUCAUGGCAGCAGAACACAACACACACUUGUAAGAAAAUAUUAUCUUAGUCAAAAAACAUCCAUACAACAAUAGUUUUGACAGAGAAAAGGGAUCCAUAAGGAAAGAAAACAGAAUCAAAAAUCUCAAAUACUCAUAAAAGACUCUACUAAAGAAACCUCAACACAAACGGAUAAACACGGCCGCUUCAUGAAAAGAAUAAUCCACUGCCCUGUGGUUCAAUGG
rnacentral:lncRNA from 1 species